GAGUCAGGCUGGAGCCGCCGGUAGUGCAGAUCUUGGUGGUAGUAGCAAGUACUCUGGUGAACCAACCUGGAGCUGUGAGGUCUGGAUUAGGGUUCCAUGUCAACAGUGAUUGAACAUGGGUGAGUCGAACCUAAGCCAACUGUGAAAGCAGUGACAUCCCGACAAAGGGGCACUAUAUAUGUGCUGUACUUACACCCCCAAACCAAAGCUCUCGUAUUGCUCUCUCUCUCUCGCAUUCUCUCUCUGACGAUAAGGUGGCUGGCACGGAAUAUGGGCACACACGGUGAUCACUACGGAGUGUGAGUGUGUGCACCAAUCCGAUUACGCAAUUUUUACGAAAUGUGAGCACACACAAUGAUCACUUCAAAUAAAUAAGUGAGUGUGACAAGCUCUUGAGGCUGAUGGUUACGGAAUAUAUGGCAGCACACACACAAUGAUCCAUACAAAUACGUAUGAGUGUGUGUGCAUUGGUUUGGUUACGCUCAUAAGCGUUGUGGCAUGUGGAUAAACGAUAAAGCAUAAAACGAGAGAGAGAGAAACGGAGUGGGUGAGCGUGAGUGUUGCUCCUGCAUGAGCACCCUGCGUCUGGUUCUAUGUCUGGCGAAAGGGAAUGGGGACUUUGUUCCUUGACCGGUCCUGGCACCCUCGAUUGGCUUUGCCAAUUAAUGGUCCAUGCAAAU
rnacentral:rRNA from 1 species